GCUUAAUGCUAUUUCUUCUUUUAUUUACAAAGGCUUCAUUCCAACUACAUACAUUAGAAAUGCAUGUCUAAGCCAGCCCAGUAGUCUAGCUGUGUUACACAAUUCCCUUUUCCUGCAAUCAAAACCAAAUAAAGAGUGAGUGUCUGCAGGCAGCAAGUGUUUCAACAUGGAAACUUCCUUCCUUUAAGUAUCUUAUGAUCACAUCACCAUGUCAUUGUAUUUAAAAAGGAAAGACUGUAACAGUGUUCCCAAUAUUCUAACAUUAGAAAUAUAAAAUGCCUUGGACAUUUCAAGGUUCCUCAGAAGUCCUGACAAGACGUCAGCUGAUGAUGGCUGGAAGCUAUGUUUGCUAGUCUCAGCAGAGACUGCCCCUGCUUGAAGGAAUGAACAAAAGGAAAAAAAGACAGACAGACUAACAGGAAAGAUCCAGUAUCUUCCUCCCUCUUCCCACCAACCCUCUCAAAAAACCCUCCCUUCACCACCUAAGUUCCUUGCAUUUUAAUAUCUGGCCCCAUUAAAAUAUACCAAUCAGUCCUUUCCAACACCUUGUACCAUUCAGCAGCUCAGGACAACUUCCCUAUCCAGAAACGGUGCUUAUACAUGUGCUUAUCCUUGUGCGUAUGUUUCAUUGUUUGUCUGAAUCAGGAUGGACUGAAGCACAUAUUUCAAUGUUGUCCCAAGCCAGGUCCUAUAUUGGUAGCUUGGAAGGGCACACUGUAGACACAUCUGAAAGUCUAGAGAGAUGCAGUGCAACAUAAAUACAUGAUUUUAUUUUUUUCCAUUUUUUAAAUAGUGGCACGGUAUUUACAUGUCCCUUUGUUUAGCAUGUGACUUCCCAUCCAGGGCAGACUACAUCUACAGUUUCUCUUUAUUCCCCAGGAUUUUUCCUAGGAUAAAUAGAGUGGGUAAGUAUUUGGAGUGACAACAGACAUAUUAGAUGUGUAACAAAGUGAGCUAUUUCACAGUCAUAACAAUGAUAAUCCAGGAAGCAAACACAAAGGAGAUUUCUCUUUGACUACAGCUGUGAACAAAAACAAUCUUUUUUGUUUCUUGGCAUCUUACCAUUUCAGUCAAACUGGAUUACAUAGUCCAGUUGUUACCAAAAAAAAAAAAGCAAAAGUAAAAA